GUCGAACGCGUUGGCCCAAUUGAUUGACGGUGCUUGCACCUGAUUGAUUUUGGUCGCCAACGAGUGGCGGACGGGUGAGUAACACGUAGGUAACCUGCCCAGAAGCGGGGGACAACAUUUGGAAACAGAUGCUAAUACCGCAUAACAGCGUUGUUCGCAUGAACAACGCUUAAAAGAUGGCUUCUCGCUAUCACUUCUGGAUGGACCUGCGGUGCAUUAGCUUGUUGGUGGGGUAACGGCCUACCAAGGCGAUGAUGCAUAGCCGAGUUGAGAGACUGAUCGGCCACAAUGGGACUGAGACACGGCCCAUACUCCUACGGGAGGCAGCAGUAGGGAAUCUUCCACAAUGGGCGCAAGCCUGAUGGAGCAACACCGCGUGAGUGAAGAAGGGUUUCGGCUCGUAAAGCUCUGUUGUUAAAGAAGAACACGUAUGAGAGUAACUGUUCAUACGUUGACGGUAUUUAACCAGAAAGUCACGGCUAACUACGUGCCAGCAGCCGCGGUAAUACGUAGGUGGCAAGCGUUAUCCGGAUUUAUUGGGCGUAAAGAGAGUGCAGGCGGUUUUCUAAGUCUGAUGUGAAAGCCUUCGGCUUAACCGGAGAAGUGCAUCGGAAACUGGAUAACUUGAGUGCAGAAGAGGGUAGUGGAACUCCAUGUGUAGCGGUGGAAUGCGUAGAUAUAUGGAAGAA
rnacentral:rRNA from 2 species